rnacentral:rRNA from 1 species
AUUGAACGCUGGCGGCAGGCCUAACACAUGCAAGUCGAACGAGUGGCGGCCGGGUGAGUAAUGUCUGGGAAACUGCCUGAUGGAGGGGGAUAACUACUGGAAACGGUAGCUAAUACCGCAUACCAUCGGAUGUGCCCAGAUGGGAUUAGCUAGUAGGUGGGGUAAAGGCUCACCUAGGCGACGAUCCCUAGCUGGUCUGGGAGGAUGACCAACCACACUGGAAAGAAAACACGGUCCAGACUCAUACGGGAGGCAGCAGUGGGGAAGAUUGAAUAAUGGGAGCAAGCCUGAUGCAGCCAUGCGGCAUGGAUGAAGGAGGCCUUCGGGUUGUAAAGUACUUUCAGCGGGGAGGCGUUAACCGCAGAAGAAGCACCGGCUAACUCCGUGCCAGCCGCGGUAAUUC